rnacentral:tRNA from 1 species
GGCUAGAUAGCAUAGCGGCUAAUGUAAAGAGUUGCAAACCCUUUAAGGGUGGUUCGAUUCCACCUCUAGCCU